UACGAAGGGGGCUAGCGUUGCUCGGAAUCACUGGGCGUAAAGCGCACGUAGGCGGCUUUUUAAGUCAGAGGUGAAAUCCUGGAGCUCAACUCCAGAACUGCCUUUGAUACUGAGGAUCUUGAGUUCGGGAGAGGUGAGUGGAACUGCGAGUGUAGAGGUGAAAUUCGUAGAUAUUCGCAAGAACACCAGUGGCGAAGGCGGCUCACUGGCCCAUUACUGACGCUGAGGCGCGAAAGCGUGGGGAGCAAACAGG
rnacentral:rRNA from 1 species